UCUGCCUGGCAGUUGACUGGUCUGGAGCCAGACUUAGUCUUAGGCACAAGACUUGGUCCAAGGGACAGGGGCUAGGAUCCCCGAGGUCCCCACUUCUGCGAAAGCUAUUAGCCACCUCUGGAUUCCCCUCCCCUGACCCUGCUACCUCUCCCCAUCCCCCACGGUCUCUUGCUGUGCCUUGGAGGUCCUGCUCCAUUGGCAUCCAGAAAGCUCUGGGGGUGUCUGAAGAGGUCAGGGAUCCUCUAGCCUCCUGUUCCUGACCAGAACCAAGACGUAACAUCCGCUUCAUUGCGAACAUGACUUCACUUCCGGCCCCCAGUCCUGGAAGGCCCCCUCAGGCAGGGGGGCCUCGUUCCAUGCUGAGCAUAGUGCCAACACAGCAGCUGCGGAGUGUCUGCCUGUCUUCGACGGAGUAGGAAAGAACACACAGACAUUUAAAAUGCCAGCGGCCGUUAACCAAUGAGGAUUCAUCGAGCCAACUGCAAAGACACAUUCCGCCCCCAAUCAGUUGGAGUACGCUGAAUGUAAACUGCAUUAGA